UACAGAGGGUGCAAGCGUUGUUCGGAAUUAUUGGGCGUAAAGGGCUCGUAGGCGGUCUGUUGCGUCGGGAGUGAAAACUCAGGGCUUAACCCUGAGCCUGCUUCCGAUACGGGCAGACUAGAGGUAUGCAGGGGAGAACGGAAUUCCUGGUGUAGCGGUGAAUGCGCAGAUAUCAGGAGGAACACCGGUGGCGAAGGCGGAUUCUC
rnacentral:rRNA from 1 species